UGAGGAUUAUUGGACAAUGGGCGGAAGCCUGAUCCAGCCAUGCCGCGUGUGUGAAGAAGGUCUGCGGAUUGUAAAGCACUUUAAGUAGGGAGGAAGGGCAGUAAGCGAAUACCUUGCUGUUUUGACGUUACCGACAGAAUAAGCACCGGCUAACUCUGUGCCAGCAGCCGCGGUAAUACAGAGGGUGCAAGCGUUAAUCGGAAUUACUGGGCGUAAAGCGCGCGUAGGUGGUUCGUUAAGUUGAAUGUGAAAGCCCCGGGCUCAACCUGGGAACUGCAUCCAAAACUGGCGAGCUAGAGUAGGGCAGAGGGUGGUGGAAUUUCCUGUGUAGCGGUGAAAUGCGUAGAUAUAGGAAGGAACACCAGUGGCGAAGGCUACCACCUGGGCUCAUACUGACACUGAGGUGCGAAAGCGUGGGGAGCAAACAGG
rnacentral:rRNA from 1 species